rnacentral:rRNA from 1 species
UACGAAGGGGGCUAGCGUUGCUCGGAAUCACUGGGCGUAAAGCGCACGUAGGCGGAUUGCUAAGUCAGGGGUGAAAUCCUGGAGCUCAACUCCAGAACUGCCCUUGAUACUGGCGGUCUCGAGUCCGGGAGAGGUGAGUGGAACUGCGAGUGUAGAGGUGAAAUGCGCAGAUAUCAGGAAGAACACCAAUGGCGAAGGCAGUUCUCUGGGACGGUACUGACGCUGAGACGCGAAAGCGUGGGGAGCGAACAGG